UACAGAGGGGGCAAGCGUUGUCCGGAAUUACUGGGCGUACAGCGCGCGCAGGCGGACCGCCACGUGCUGUGUGACAAGCCACUGCUCAACAGUGGAGGGCCAGGGUACACGAGCGGUCUGGAGGCAGGGAGAGGGAUGUGGAAUGCCCGGUGGAGCGGUGAAAUGCGUAGAGAUCGGGCGGAACACCAGCGGCGAAGGCGGCAUCCUGGUCCUGUUCUGACGCUGAGGCGCGAGAGCGUGGGGAGCGAACUGG
rnacentral:rRNA from 1 species